AAGUAACAAACUGUGGAGAUA
rnacentral:piRNA from 1 species